AGUCGUCUUGAAAUGUGCGUAGGUUGCGGACGUGAUUUCUCUCCGCUCUCACAUUCCCCACUUUUCUGGCAGCCGGCACCGUCGGGUGGCCGACUUGGCCCCCCAUGCUCCUUGCUAGGACUUCCGACUAGACUAUUCCGGCUGUUUAUAUUGAAAAUGAACAGAUGGGCAGGACUAACACGCACCCCUCGACUCUCUCAUCUAUCGUCGAAUAAAUUGCAUCAAAGUAUACGGCCGGCCCGGCUCUUUCUCUUCUUCUUUGCAGAGGGAAAAAUCAGUGGAGGAUCGAUUCGAGUUUCUCUAGAGACUCAACAUAUAUUAUAAAACAUUUAAAAUGGAAUUUUUUUUAAAUUCCCCGGGCUCCUGAGUGACUGUUGUUUUGUGUGACGAGUUUCGGGUCUAAAAGUUUACAAAUGUUCCGAAAUGUUCUGUGGGUUCAAUGCAAAUUUUUAUUCUUAGUGUUAUCUCGAGAGUGGUUUUUCGUUACGAACUGGUUAUUGGUUAAUGCUAAAUUAAUCGGAUUUGAGGCCUGAGCGGGCUGAGCCAGUCAUCAUAACCACAAGAUCUACACCAGUUUGGCUCUGGCUGGUGUUGACCUGCCAUCACCAACAAUCUCAGCAUCAUCACUUGGCAGAAGAACCGUCUCGCUAAUUCGACGAUUUUCCUCCGAAAGCAACUCAAGCCCAAUAAGUUUUAAAAGUAAGUUUUAUAUUGAUAAUUGACGCCUUAUUUAUGGUAAAAAUCCGCAGCAUUUUUUAACUGGUUUCUUUUAUUCGUUUCUUUGUGUGUGCGUUUGCUUGUGACCCGAGGAUAUUCUACAAACCGAACCUUACCGAACAUUCCGACAAAACUAAAAUCUUCAUCACAACACACAAUCUGCUUAUCACAUCACACAUACUAUUCCAGAAAAUGAAAUGUUAUCAGCAGUCA